UACGGAGGGAGCUAGCGUUGUUCGGAAUUACUGGGCGUAAAGCGCACGUAGGCGGAUUGCUAAGUCAGGGGUGAAAUCCUGGAGCUCAACUCCAGAACUGCCCUUGAUACUGGCGACCUUGAGUCCGGGAGAGGUGAGUGGAACUGCGAGUGUAGAGGUGAAAUUCGUAGAUAUUCGCAAGAACACCAGUGGCGAAGGCGGCUCACUGGCCCGGUACUGACGCUGAGGUGCGAAAGCGUGGGGAGCAAAC
rnacentral:rRNA from 1 species